GACGAAUUCAGUCCAGGUUUCUCGCCAUCGGAGGAAGAAGUUGUGACUAUGGAACUGGGAAAGGAUGAGUACAAUGUACCCUGUGGUGCUAGAAGAGAGCGGGUCGGAGAUAUCCUUCUCCGGGUGCACAGUCGUGUAGCACUGCAGACGCCCACGGCGUGCGCGGCACUAACCUGACGAAACCACUGUGAGGUUUAUGGGAUUUGGUCAUUUCGGGUCCGUCCCGGAGGAGCUCUCGGUGCUGCUUUGAGCCCUCCCACCGCACUCACUGUGACCGACGGCGGUGAGUUUGUGCCGUUCGUAUCUGGGUUAGUCUUUUACUCGUAGAACUACUCUACAGGGUCAGGAGGGGGGCGUUUGAAGCCAACCUGACCGGCUGACUGUCGCCCCAGACCACCAAGCAACAUAUCCCACAGGCUCUGGGCUGCGUUUUGUCCACGGGAGCCACGAGCGCCCGACCCACCUGCUAUCUGGUACUCGGAGAUGAACAG